rnacentral:rRNA from 1 species
CCUACGGGUGGCAGCAGUGAGGAAUAUUGGUCAAUGGACGGAAGUCUGAACCAGCGACGCCGCGUGAGUGAAGAAGUAUUUCGGUAUGUAAAGCUCUAUCAGCAGGGAAGAAAGAAAUGACGGUACCUGACUAAGAAGCCGCGGCUAACUACGUGCCAGCAGCCGCGGUAAUACGGAGGGGGCGAGCGUUAGCCGGAUUUACUGGGUUUAAAGGGACGGUAGGGGGGGAUGGAAGUUUGAAGGGAAAGGCGGGGGGCCAACCCCCGGACUGCUUUGGAAACUGUAUGGCUGGAGUGCAGGAGAGGUAAGUGGAAUGCCUAGUGUAGCGGUGAAAUGCGUAGAUAUUAGGCGGAACACCAGUGGCGAAGGCGGCUUACUGGCCUGUAACUGACGCUGAGGCUCGAAAGCGUGGGGAGCAAACAGGAUUAGAUACCCCUGUAGUC